GGGUUGUGAGGUUAAGCGACUAAGCGUACACGGUGGAUGCCCUGGCAGUCAGAGGCGAUGAAGGACGUGCUAAUCUGCGAAAAGCGUCGGUAAGGUGAUAUGAACCGUUAUAACCGGCGAUGUCCGAAUGGGGAAACCCAGUGCAAUUCGUUGCACUAUCGUUAACUGAAUACAUAGGUUAACGAGGCGAACCGGGGGAACUGAAACAUCUAAGUACCCCGAGGAAAAGAAAUCAACCGAGAUUCCCCCAGUAGCGGCGAGCGAACGGGGAGCAGCCCAGAGUCUGAAUCAGCUUGUGUGUUAGUGGAACGGUCUGGAAAGUCCGACGGUACAGGGUGAUAGUCCCGUACACCAAAAUGCACAGGCUGUGAACUCGAAGAGUAGGGCGGGACACGUGGUAUCCUGUCUGAAUAUGGGGGACCAUCCUCCAAGGCUAAAUACUCCUGACUGACCGAUAGUGAACCAGUACCGUGAGGGAAAGGCGAAAAGAACCCCGGCGAGGGGAGUGAAAAAGAACCUGAAACCGUGUACGUACAAGCAGUGGGAGCACCUUCGGGUGUGACUGCGUACCUUUUGUAUAAUGGGUCAGCGACUUAUAUUCUGUAGCAAGGUUAACCGUAUAGGGGAGCCGCAGGGAAACCGAGUCUUAACUGGGCGUUAAGUUGCAGGGUAUAGACCCGAAACCCGGUGAUCUAGCCAUGGGCAGGUUGAAGGUUGGGUAACACUAACUGGAGGACCGAACCGACUAAUGUUGAAAAAUUAGCGGAUGACUUGUGGCUGGGGGUGAAAGGCCAAUCAAACCGGGAGAUAGCUGGUUCUCCCCGAAAGCUAUUUAGGUAGCGCCUCGUGAACUCAUCUUCGGGGGUAGAGCACUGUUUCGGCUAGGGGGUCAUCCCGACUUACCAACCCGAUGCAAACUACGAAUACCGAAGAAUGUUAUCACGGGAGACACACGGCGGGUGCUAACGUCCGUCGUGAAGAGGGAAACAACCCAGACCGCCAGCUAAGGUCCCAAAGUCAUGGUUAAGUGGGAAACGAUGUGGGAAGGCACAGACAGCCAGGAUGUUGGCUUAGAAGCAGCCAUCAUUUAAAGAAAGCGUAAUAGCUCACUGGUCGAGUCGGCCUGCGCGGAAGAUGUAACGGGGCUAAACCAUGCACCGAAGCUGCGGCAGCGACACUAUGUGUUGUUGGGUAGGGGAGCGUUCUGUAAGCCUGCGAAGGUGUGCUGUGAGGCAUGCUGGAGGUAUCAGAAGUGCGAAUGCUGACAUAAGUAACGAUAAAGCGGGUGAAAAGCCCGCUCGCCGGAAGACCAAGGGUUCCUGUCCAACGUUAAUCGGGGCAGGGUGAGUCGACCCCUAAGGCGAGGCCGAAAGGCGUAGUCGAUGGGAAACAGGUUAAUAUUCCUGUACUUGGUGUUACUGCGAAGGGGGACGGAGAAGGCUAUGUUAGCCGGGCGACGGUUGUCCCGGUUUAAGCAUGUAGGCUGGUUAUCCAGGCAAAUCCGGAUAAUCAAGGCUGAGGUGUGAUGACGAGGCACUACGGUGCUGAAGUAACAAAUGCCCUGCUUCCAGGAAAAGCCUCUAAGCAUCAGGUAACAUCAAAUCGUACCCCAAACCGACACAGGUGGUCAGGUAGAGAAUACCAAGGCGCUUGAGAGAACUCGGGUGAAGGAACUAGGCAAAAUGGUGCCGUAACUUCGGGAGAAGGCACGCUGGUGUGUAGGUGAAGUCCCUGCGGAUGGAGCUGAGACCAGUCGAAGAUACCAGCUGGCUGCAACUGUUUAUUAAAAACACAGCACUGUGCAAACACGAAAGUGGACGUAUACGGUGUGACGCCUGCCCGGUGCCGGAAGGUUAAUUGAUGGGGUUAUCCGUAAGGAGAAGCUCUUGAUCGAAGCCCCGGUAAACGGCGGCCGUAACUAUAACGGUCCUAAGGUAGCGAAAUUCCUUGUCGGGUAAGUUCCGACCUGCACGAAUGGCGUAAUGAUGGCCAGGCUGUCUCCACCCGAGACUCAGUGAAAUUGAACUCGCUGUGAAGAUGCAGUGUACCCGCGGCAAGACGGAAAGACCCCGUGAACCUUUACUAUAGCUUGACACUGAACAUUGAGCCUUGAUGUGUAGGAUAGGUGGGAGGCUUUGAAGCGUGGACGCCAGUCUGCGUGGAGCCAACCUUGAAAUACCACCCUUUAAUGUUUGAUGUUCUAACGUUGGCCCCUGACCGGGGUUGCGGACAGUGUCUGGUGGGUAGUUUGACUGGGGCGGUCUCCUCCCAAAGCGUAACGGAGGAGCACGAAGGUUAGCUAAUCCUGGUCGGACAUCAGGAGGUUAGUGCAAUGGCAUAAGCUAGCUUGACUGCGAGCGUGACGGCGCGAGCAGGUGCGAAAGCAGGUCAUAGUGAUCCGGUGGUUCUGAAUGGAAGGGCCAUCGCUCAACGGAUAAAAGGUACUCCGGGGAUAACAGGCUGAUACCGCCCAAGAGUUCAUAUCGACGGCGGUGUUUGGCACCUCGAUGUCGGCUCAUCACAUCCUGGGGCUGAAGUAGGUCCCAAGGGUAUGGCUGUUCGCCAUUUAAAGUGGUACGCGAGCUGGGUUUAGAACGUCGUGAGACAGUUCGGUCCCUAUCUGCCGUGGGCGCUGGAGAAUUGAGGGGGCUGCUCCUAGUACGAGAGGACCGGAGUGGACGCAUCACUGGUGUUCGGGUUGUCAUGCCAAUGGCACUGCCCGGUAGCUAAAUGCGGAAGAGAUAAGUGCUGAAAGCAUCUAAGCACGAAACUUGCCCCGAGAUGAGUUCUCCCUGAGACUUUAAGUCUCCUGAAGGAACGUUGAAGACGACGACGUUGAUAGGCCGGGUGUGUAAGCGCAGCGAUGCGUUGAGCUAACCGGUACUAAUGAACCGUGAGGCUUAACCUUACAACGCCGAAG
rnacentral:rRNA from 1 species